rnacentral:rRNA from 1 species
AUUCCAGCUCUAAUAGCGUAUAUUAAAGUUGUUGCAGUUAAAAAGCUCGUAGUCGGAUGUCGGGCUCGGGGAGGCUGUCGGCCUAUGGUCGGACGGCAUGUCCGGGCCUUUCUGCCUGGGGAUCCUACUCUACUUGACUGUAGGGUAGUGGGACGCAGGCCGUUUACUUUGAAAAGAUUAGAGUGUUCAAAGCAGGCCUACGCUUGAAUACAUUGGCAUGGAAUAAUGGAAUAGGACUUUGGUCUUAUUUGUUGGUUUAUGGGACCGAAGUAAUGAUUAACAGGGACAGUUGGGGCCGUUUAUAUUUCGUUGUCAGAGGUGAAAUUCUUGGAUUUACGAAAGAUAAACUUCUGCGAAAGCAUUCGGCAAGGAUGUUUUCAUCA